UCGCGAAUCAUUGACAAUGUGCGCAAGCAUGAUCAUGCCACGCCGCGUGGGCGAUGAAGGCCUUCGGGUUGUAAAGCCCUGUCAGGGGUGAGGAAACGUACCGGCUUGACCGGUGCCUGACGUUAGCCCCAGAGGAAGUCACGGCUAACUCCGUGCCAGCAGCCGCGGUAAGACGGAGGUGGCAAACGUUGCUCGGAAUCACUGGGCUUAAAGGGCGUGUAGGCGGUCGAUCAAGUCGGAUGUGAAAUCUCUCGGCUCAACCGAGAAGCUGCACCCGAUACUGGUUGGCUAGAGUGCGAGAGGGGUGAGUGGAACUCCAGGUGUAGCGGUGAAAUGCGUAGAUAUCUGGAGGAACGCCGGUGGCGAAAGCGACUCACUGGCUCGCAACUGACGCUGAGGCGCGAAAGCUAGGGGAGCGAACGGGAUUAGAUACCCCGGUAGUCCUAGCCCUAAACGAUGAGCACUUGGCUGUGGGUCCAUCCACGGAUUCACAGCCGUAGCGAAAGUGUCAAGUGCUCCGCCUGGGGAAGUACGGUCGCAAGGCUGAA
rnacentral:rRNA from 1 species